rnacentral:rRNA from 1 species
UACGUAGGGUCCGAGCGUUGUCCGGAAUUAUUGGGCGUAAAGGGCUCGUAGGCGGUUCGUCACGUCGGGAGUGAAAACUCGGAGCUUAACUCCGAGCCUGCUUCCGAUACGGGCAGACUAGAGGUAGGCAGGGGAGAGCGGAACUCCUGGUGUAGCGGUGGAAUGCGCAGAUAUCAGGAAGAACACCGGUGGCGAAGGCGGCCCGCUGGGCAGGAAGACACCGCAAGGUGUCGGCUGACGCUGGAGGCGCGACAGCGUGGGGAGCAAACAGG